rnacentral:rRNA from 1 species
GACAGAGGGUGCAAACGUUGUUCGGAAUUACUGGGCGUAAAGCGUGCGUAGACGGUUAUUUAAGUCGGAUGUGAAAGCCCCGGGCUCAACCUGGGAAUUGCAUUCGAGACUGAAUAGCUAGGGUACGGUAGAGGGAAGUGGAAUUUCCGGUGUAGCGGUGAAAUGCGUAGAGAUCCGGAAGAACACCAGUGGCGAAGGCGCUCGGCUAGGCCGCAACUGACACUGAGGGACGAAAGCUAGGGGAGCGAAUGGG